GACGAACGCUGGCGGCGUGCUUAACACAUGCAAGUCGAACGGAAAGGCCCUGCUUUUGUGGGGUGCUCGAGUGGCGAACGGGUGAGUAACACGUGAGUAACCUGCCCUUGACUUUGGGAUAACUUCAGGAAACUGGGGCUAAUACCGGAUAGGAGCUCCUGCUGCAUGGUGGGGGUUGGAAAGUUUCGGCGGUUGGGGAUGGACUCGCGGCUUAUCAGCUUGUUGGUGGGGUAGUGGCUUACCAAGGCUUUGACGGGUAGCCGGCCUGAGAGGGUGACCGGCCACAUUGGGACUGAGGAACGGCCCAGGCUCAAACGGGAGGCAGCGGUGGGGAAUAGUGCACGAUGGGCGGAAGCCGGAUACAGCAACGCCGCGUGCGGGAGGACGGCCUUCGGGUUGUAAACCGAUUUCGCCUGUAACGAAGCGUGAGUGACGGUAAUGGGUAAAGAAGCACCGGCUAACUACGU
rnacentral:rRNA from 1 species